GGGUAGAGGAAGGCGGGUCCCUGGCUCGGCUCUACCCCCAUGGAUCUAGGUGGGCUCAAUGUCAUCACAAGGGUGCUUAAGAGGGAAAGAGGAAGCCAUGAGGGUCAGAGUCAAAGGAAGACUUGAAGAUACUACACUGCGGACUUUAAAGAUGAAGGAAGGGGCGAAAACCAAGAAUGUGGGAAGCCUCUAGAAGCUAGAGAAGGCAAGGAAACAAAUUUUCCACUAGAGCCUCCAGAAGGAACACAGCCCUGCUGACCCACUGUAAUGUCUGACCUCUAGAUGUGUAAGGGUAGUAAGACUGAAAGUCUCAGAAAGGCACUGUUAAAUUCUUAUUCCUCAACUAUGCAACUCAAAACUGGGGUCCUCAGCAGUGAGCGAGGGGUGAGAGAAGACACUGUAUAAACAUGGCACAUCCUCCUGGAAAGUCAACUUUACUCAAAGCUUUAGAAACCCAGCUCAAACUAGCUGAAGCAGAAAAGACAUUACUGCGCCUAUAAGUUGAAACUUUGGAGGGAUAAAUUUCAGAGGUGUGGCUAGAUCCAACGGCUCUCUGGAAAACUCUGUGAAAAAAAUGCUUCCUCAAGUCCAGAAACCAGAAGCUCAGGAAAUUGUUGCUUGGUUCCUCUUGUUAGAGGCAGAGAUUAUUCAACGACCUACAGGGUAGCGUUUGAACAUUGUUACCAGGAAUCUUUACUUUGCCAUCUUCCAAGUCUGUUCUCCUCAGUAUUGGUUUCAUUUACAAGCAGGCCAUCUCUGCCCUCAUGGCAAUGAUGGUCUUUACUCCAGGCUUAAGACCCUUACUAUCUACUAUUUCCAAAGCGGAGAGAGAACUUCCCACACCUAGUGACCUGUGACACAGGAUUUUAUCCUUCGUACAGAGGGAAUUCAGUUGGCUAACAUAAUCUGCCUUCCAAUGGAGUAAGAAUGUCUGGACUCUUUCCUUCACCUACCCCCAAGACAUGGAGGCGUCUAAAAGAUAAAUAAAACUUGGCAACUGACCGAAGGAGGAAGAGGGGAUUUCAGGCAAAAUCAACGCUGUUCACUACGAGGAGACUUCAGAAAGGUUGCCUGCUUCUGGGGAGCAUAGUCCCUGAUUCCUCAAGACAUACGUUUAUUCUUUUCUUCAAUGUCUUUGCCUGCAGUCAAAACAAAACCAUUACCUUUAGCCAAGUUCACACAUUUCAGCCAAAUCCAUAUGCAUCGGAUCAGUUCUGUAGGUUAUGGGUGAGCAUGAACAUAUAAAAGAGGCACCUGCCUGUGCCUAUCUACUCCAUGGAAUUUCAAAAGGGGCCACUUAUGGAGAAUGUCUUUAGGGACAGAACCAACCACCCUGUCUUUCCUCCAACUCUCAAAGUAACUUCUGGCUUUAAUCCUCAAGUGUCUAUGCUGGAGUUUAAGAAAAAUGUUUUUCAUAGAAUUCAUGUGUAUGA
rnacentral:lncRNA from 10 species